UACAGGGGGUGCAAACGUUGCUCGGAAUCACUGGGCGUAAAGGGUGCGUAGGCGGGUCUUUAAGUCAGGGGGGAAAUCCUGGAGCUCAACUCCAGAACUGCCUUUGAUACUGAGGAUCUUGAGUUCGGGAGAGGUGAGUGGAACUGCGAGUGUAGAGGUGAAAUUCGUAGAUAUUCGCAAGAACACCAGUGGCGAAGGCGGCUCACUGGCCCGAUACUGACGCUGAGGCACGAAAGCGUGGGGAGCAAACAGG
rnacentral:rRNA from 1 species